GGUUAAGCGACUAAGCGUACACGGUGGAUGCCCUGGCAGUCAGAGGCGAUGAAGGACGUGCUAAUCUGCGAUAAGCGUCGGUAAGGUGAUAUGAACCGUUAUAACCGGCGAUUUCCGAAUGGGGAAACCCAGUGUGUUUCGACACACUAUCAUUAACUGAAUCCAUAGGUUAAUGAGGCGAACCGGGGGAACUGAAACAUCUAAGUACCCCGAGGAAAAGAAAUCAACCGAGAUUCCCCCAGUAGCGGCGAGCGAACGGGGAGGAGCCCAGAGCCUGAAUCAGUGUGUGUGUUAGUGGAAGCGUCUGGAAAGGCGCGCGAUACAGGGUGACAGCCCCGUACACAAAAAUGCACAUAUUGUGAGCUCGAUGAGUAGGGCGGGACACGUGGUAUCCUGUCUGAAUAUGGGGGGACCAUCCUCCAAGGCUAAAUACUCCUGACUGACCGAUAGUGAACCAGUACCGUGAGGGAAAGGCGAAAAGAACCCCGGCGAGGGGAGUGAAAAAGAACCUGAAACCGUGUACGUACAAGCAGUGGGAGCACGCUUAGGCGUGUGACUGCGUACCUUUUGUAUAAUGGGUCAGCGACUUAUAUUCUGUAGCAAGGUUAACCGAAUAGGGGAGCCGAAGGGAAACCGAGUCUUAACUGGGCGUUAAGUUGCAGGGUAUAGACCCGAAACCCGGUGAUCUAGCCAUGGGCAGGUUGAAGGUUGGGUAACACUAACUGGAGGACCGAACCGACUAAUGUUGAAAAAUUAGCGGAUGACUUGUGGCUGGGGGUGAAAGGCCAAUCAAACCGGGAGAUAGCUGGUUCUCCCCGAAAGCUAUUUAGGUAGCGCCUCGUGAAUUCAUCUCCGGGGGUAGAGCACUGUUUCGGCAAGGGGGUCAUCCCGACUUACCAACCCGAUGCAAACUGCGAAUACCGGAGAAUGUUAUCACGGGAGACACACGGCGGGUGCUAACGUCCGUCGUGAAGAGGGAAACAACCCAGACCGCCAGCUAAGGUCCCAAAGUCAUGGUUAAGUGGGAAACGAUGUGGGAAGGCCCAGACAGCCAGGAUGUUGGCUUAGAAGCAGCCAUCAUUUAAAGAAAGCGUAAUAGCUCACUGGUCGAGUCGGCCUGCGCGGAAGAUGUAACGGGGCUAAACCAUGCACCGAAGCUGCGGCAGCGACGCUUAUGCGUUGUUGGGUAGGGGAGCGUUCUGUAAGCCUGCGAAGGUGUGCUGUGAGGCAUGCUGGAGGUAUCAGAAGUGCGAAUGCUGACAUAAGUAACGAUAAAGCGGGUGAAAAGCCCGCUCGCCGGAAGACCAAGGGUUCCUGUCCAACGUUAAUCGGGGCAGGGUGAGUCGACCCCUAAGGCGAGGCCGAAAGGCGUAGUCGAUGGGAAACAGGUUAAUAUUCCUGUACUUGGUGUUACUGCGAAGGGGGGACGGAGAAGGCUAUGUUGGCCGGGCGACGGUUGUCCCGGUUUAAGCGUGUAGGCUGGUUUUCCAGGCAAAUCCGGAAAAUCAAGGCUGAGGCGUGAUGACGAGGCACUACGGUGCUGAAGCAACAAAUGCCCUGCUUCCAGGAAAAGCCUCUAAGCAUCAGGUAACAUCAAAUCGUACCCCAAACCGACACAGGUGGUCAGGUAGAGAAUACCAAGGCGCUUGAGAGAACUCGGGUGAAGGAACUAGGCAAAAUGGUGCCGUAACUUCGGGAGAAGGCACGCUGAUAUGUAGGUGAGGUCCCUCGCGGAUGGAGCUGAAAUCAGUCGAAGAUACCAGCUGGCUGCAACUGUUUAUUAAAAACACAGCACUGUGCAAACACGAAAGUGGACGUAUACGGUGUGACGCCUGCCCGGUGCCGGAAGGUUAAUUGAUGGGGUCAGCGCAAGCGAAGCUCUUGAUCGAAGCCCCGGUAAACGGCGGCCGUAACUAUAACGGUCCUAAGGUAGCGAAAUUCCUUGUCGGGUAAGUUCCGACCUGCACGAAUGGCGUAAUGAUGGCCAGGCUGUCUCCACCCGAGACUCAGUGAAAUUGAACUCGCUGUGAAGAUGCAGUGUACCCGCGGCAAGACGGAAAGACCCCGUGAACCUUUACUAUAGCUUGACACUGAACAUUGAGCCUUGAUGUGUAGGAUAGGUGGGAGGCUUAGAAGUGUGGACGCCAGUCUGCAUGGAGCCGACCUUGAAAUACCACCCUUUAAUGUUUGAUGUUCUAACGUUGACCCGUGAUCCGGGUUGCGGACAGUGUCUGGUGGGUAGUUUGACUGGGGCGGUCUCCUCCUAAAGAGUAACGGAGGAGCACGAAGGUUGGCUAAUCCUGGUCGGACAUCAGGAGGUUAGUGCAAUGGCAUAAGCCAGCUUGACUGCGAGCGUGACGGCGCGAGCAGGUGCGAAAGCAGGUCAUAGUGAUCCGGUGGUUCUGAAUGGAAGGGCCAUCGCUCAACGGAUAAAAGGUACUCCGGGGAUAACAGGCUGAUACCGCCCAAGAGUUCAUAUCGACGGCGGUGUUUGGCACCUCGAUGUCGGCUCAUCACAUCCUGGGGCUGAAGUAGGUCCCAAGGGUAUGGCUGUUCGCCAUUUAAAGUGGUACGCGAGCUGGGUUUAGAACGUCGUGAGACAGUUCGGUCCCUAUCUGCCGUGGGCGCUGGAGAACUGAGGGGGGCUGCUCCUAGUACGAGAGGACCGGAGUGGACGCAUCACUGGUGUUCGGGUUGUCAUGCCAAUGGCACUGCCCGGUAGCUAAAUGCGGAAGAGAUAAGUGCUGAAAGCAUCUAAGCACGAAACUUGCCCCGAGAUGAGUUCUCCCUGACCCUUUAAGGGUCCUGAAGGAACGUUGAAGACGACGACGUUGAUAGGCCGGGUGUGUAAGCGCAGCGAUGCGUUGAGCUAACCGGUACUAAUGAACCGUGAGGCUUAACCUU
rnacentral:rRNA from 1 species